rnacentral:rRNA from 1 species
UACGUAGGGGGCAAGCGUUGUCCGGAAUCAUUGGGCGUAAAGAGCGUGUAGGCGGCCAGAUAAGUCCGCUGUGAAAUCUCGAGGCUCAACUUCGAGCUGUCGGUGGAAACUGUCUGGCUAGAGUCCGGAAGAGGAGAAUGGAAUUCCUGGUGUAGCGGUGAAAUGCGCAGAUAUCAGGAAGAACACCCGUGGCGAAGGCGGUUCUCUGGGACGGUACUGACGCUGAGACGCGAAAAGCGUGGGGAGCGAACAGG